UUAGAAUGAUAGUAACAGAGAAUUUCCCUGAAGUGGUCUACUCAGUCCUGCUCACGAUGUGCCUCAAACAAACUCUCAGCAUUCAGGGAGUCUGGUGUUAAAUGGAUGGACUGAAUUGGAGCUGAAACCCAGAACCCACGGCACAGAGGGACAUUUUUACCUGAGAUGGGAAGAGGGGGACUUCUCUGGCCGACCGUUCUAGAAACUCUCCGUGUGCUGCUCAUUCUCUAUCCCCUCCUCCUUCCUCUUCUUCCUCGGCACUUCCUCCGAUUUCCUCGGCUUCGUCUCUUAAUGGCUCUGUUAACAAUCGUUUUUAGUGCCAAUCCUGCCAAGCACACUGGGGACAGAUGUCUAGUCUGACAUUGAAGACCCUGAACAAGACACCGCAGAACAGCGUCAUGGUGUUGAGGCAGGUUUUGUUAGAGCCCGGUAUCAAUUAAAAGAGGGAUAUCUUAUUCAAAGCUGCUCGGUGGGGAAAUUAAUAGAUGACCUGA
rnacentral:lncRNA from 1 species